GCCCCCAUCGUCCAGCGGUUCAGGACACCUCUCUUUCAAGGAGGCAGCGGGGAUUCGACUUCCCCUGGGGGUA
rnacentral:tRNA from 1 species